CAACAACGCAAGUUGGACGUGUUUUUGAUAACCGAGCGCUAACGCGAGAAACUUACAAGUUACGAACGGAACGGAACGUUCAGGUUCUUUGUUUAUUUUCGCGUGCGAGUGUGUCAAUUUUGUUUACGCCCGGAUCUUAGCGUGAUUCGAUUCGGGAGGUAGUGAUUUAUCUACAACCGUUUUAAAAACGGAACAAAGUGUGCGUUGACUAAUAACAGAUCGAAAAGUGUGUUUUACCAGACUAUUGGGAAAGUUAGGUGAAAGAGCCGUCGAAUCAGGAUUUUUACAAAGGAAAAGAAAGUUCCCAUGUAUCAAGAAGACUGAAACCUUGAUCAAAGUGCAAAGGAAAUUUUCUAAUUAAUUUGUGUGGGACAAAUCAAGCCAAAAGAACAAAACUGUGAAACUGCAACCAAACUUAACUUUUACAAAUCAUGGCAGUGGCAUUCUUUAUUCCCUCGGUUGACGAGGAUGAACAGGUUAAGCCUGCGAAUCAACAGCAAACGCACAAUCACCAGCAAUCACCGGCGGUUGGUGGAGGUGCGGCUACAACAGGCACCAACGUGUCGCAACAGGUCUGUGCAGCGGCAGCCCUUGGGCAGCAGCACCUGACCAGUAUGCUGUUCCACGAGAUUCUCGUCGCCUACGCGCGGCAAGCCAUCCUAACGCAACAGCUGAGCCCCGCUCCACCGAGCAGCCCUCCCUGUUUACUCUGCAAAAAGCUCUACUUUCUGUUCCGACGAAUCUACUGACGGCCUCGCCAAGGUCACCGAGUAGACAACGACGACGACGACGAAUCCUCGUCGUUCGUCAAGGACACACCAAACAACAGCCAAAAACGUGCCACCAUCGCCAGGAACAGGAGAAACGAUAAAGUUGCAAUUACGACGUCUACGGAUGCUACUACUACCGCAUUCAAUACUACUAGUACUACGAUUAAAUAUACUACUACAACUUCUACUACUACCACUACUACUACUGUAAAAAGAACUGCCAGGAGCAAACCGAGAGCGGCAGUCGGAGUAAAUUGGAGGAAGAGGGUGGAGCCACCGCAGAAGAGAAAGAGAGAAACUGGGUCAAGGUCUGGCUCCAACUUGCUGGCGGUCACAACAAACCCGUCGUCUGCUCCACCCCCUACUACUACUACUGCCGAUUCUGCUACUACUUCUGCCAACGCUGCUGCUCCCGUCGUUCUGCCUGGCGUUUGCUCCAAGCGUCGCAAACGGAGCGAGUUGUGAAUACAAUGGUGCUAUCAGCAGCGAGAGAUUGUCCGGAACGUGACUCAACUUUUCGUCCCACCAGGUCCGAUGACCAAGACAAAACGGCUGUGGUGGGCGGAAACUUGCUCUACUCGCUUUCCUUCCCCGGGAGCGAGCCGGGGGGUCUCUCGUUGUUUUUGCGUUUGGCUCUGCCAAACCGAUUGUUGUUUUUGGUCGGAAAAGUUUUGCCAUGUUGGGCUCGGUUUUUGUUGUGGAAACACGCAAGCCGAUCGGAAUGUUGCCGGAGAGGACUUGGAAUUGGUCGGCCUUUUUUGGUGCUCGCCGGCCGAGCUUUUGGCUGUUUAUGUGCCAUUCUUUGGUAGAGGACGAAAAAAAGCUUGGCCAGGACACGGCAAUCGAUGGUGUUAAGAAUGGUCCCUCAAAUUUGGUGCCACUCAUCAAAUUGAAUUGACAGAAAGCGUCGUCAUCGUCAUUGGAAUUUUGCCUCACACAAAUGGGACUUCCGGGUCCCUUAAAGGAAUUUUUGGUGCAAACUUUGGAGCAACUUUUUUGCUGCAGGGAAAAUCGAAUUGUAGAAAUUUAAAAUCAACUAAUUGUUCAAAAAGGUUUAUGAAAAAAAAAAAAACAAAUCAAAACUAGAGACCAUCGUUUUUAUCGUCGUCGUCGUCGUGAUUCGCAACAAUUUUUAACCAACAAUACCUGUACAUACGAAGAAGCAGUUUCGUUCCACCAUGUAUCGAUAUACCCCCUAAGUCAAAGGAAGAGCUGUGAAAAACCAAAGCAUCUGAUCAAAAGACAAACUACAAAGUAAUUUAUAUGCUACUUUUUUUAAGAGAAGCAACAAAAAUCCCCAAAUCGCCCUCAGGGUUGAAGCCCUUUUCAGGAAAAAAAGCGAGGGGUGAUAGGUUAAGAUUUUUUUCAUUUCUUUGGUUCAAUUCUUAGCGUUCGAUAAGAAAAUAAACUGUCUAACAUAUUUAUAUAUCAAUCUAUGUAAAACCUUAGAGGGAACUCUUUCAAUUAAUGAGAAAAAAAACAAAUCUUUACCGUAGUAGAACAAGUGUUCGUUUCUUACAAUUUAAGAAAAAAAAUUAUGGGAAUCAAAACAAAGACAAACAAGAGAAAAGAGAGGAAAAGCGUAUUGUGACAUUAGCCAUGUAAGGACAAAGAUACAAACAAACAAAAACAAAGAAAAGCGCAUUGUGAUAUCGAAAACUUCUUUUUUCUUAAUUUUUAAAUUUAAUAUUUCUAUAUAGGCUGCUAGAGAGAGAAGCAUUUUAAAGUGAACAGCGGAUCGAAUCGAUUUAAAAUAAAGAAGGAAGACGCCAUUUUUAAAGACAAAAAAAUAACAAAAUGGCCAAUAGUUGAGGCACUCGAACGCACAUUUAGCAAACAGAGCAUUUAUAGAGAUACUUGUACAUAAUAAAUUUUAAAAAUUGACAAAAAAGAGUUACAAACCAACCAAAUUUAACCUUAAAAUACAAACCAAUUGAAAGCAAAACAAAACAAGCAAAUCUGUGUUUAGAUGUUUAAGGUUUCUUCUAGAGGAGAGUAACAGAGCAGAUUUUUUAACUCGCUGUGUAAGAUUUUCGUUUUGUCUAUAUUCCUAGCUGGUAGUUAUCUAAGAUUUGGUAGUCGUGUAAGGCUUUUUCCUCCCUACCCCUGUAAUCCCCAACUAAUACCAAUUUAAAUAAAUUUCAAAAGCUUGCAAAAGCAACAAAAACUUAACACAAUCAUCGAUUACUUUCUAAGGUAUCGCUAGGUUUAAGCCAGAAUCUGUAACAGUACUGAUUACCAAAAUUUUGUCGCUAUCAAUUUGCAUUUUUCAUUGUUUGUACAUAUACAGUUUUUUGAAUAUUUAUAAUGUUUAAAGAAACCAUUGGAAGGCGGAAAAAUUUCAAAAAAAAAAAAAAAAAGAAUCGAAGCUCGUGUUUCGUUGUUGAUUAAAGAAAUUAAAUUUAUUGAAGCCAUAAAAGAAAAUAAAAAAUUACUCAACCUAUACUUAAGUAUCCAGCAACACAUCGAAUGAUUUCGUACCAUCUUGUCCCAAUAACGAAUUAGCUCAUUGAAUAUGUUUUAGUUUAGUUUAAUUUAAAUUAAAUUCCUUUACAUUUUCGAUCAAGGGAAAUGUUCUUUUGAUUGAACAUUGAAUCAACGAUAAGCGAUAAUUUUGUAUCCAUUCGACGGAGCCCCACUUUCGUUGGGCGUCAACUAGCGAUAAUGUGAAUUGUGAAGCAAAGCGGAAAA